GAUGAACGCUGGCGGCGUGCCUAAUACAUGCAAGUCGAGCGAACAGACGAGGAGCUUGCUCCUCUGACGUUAGCGGCGGACGGGUGAGUAACACGUGGAUAACCUACCUAUAAGACUGGGAUAACUUCGGGAAACCGGAGCUAAUACCGGAUAAUAUUUUGAACCGCAUGGUUCAAUAGUGAAAGACGGUUUUGCUGUCACUUAUAGAUGGAUCCGCGCCGCAUUAGCUAGUUGGUAAGGUAACGGCUUACCAAGGCAACGAUGCGUAGCCGACCUGAGAGGGUGAUCGGCCGCACUGGAACUGAGACACGGUCCAGACUCCUACGGGAGGCGGCGGUAGGGAAUCUUCCGCAAUGGGCGAAAGCCUGACGGAGCAACGCCGCGUGAGUGAUAAAGGUCUUCGGAUCGUAAAACUCUGUUAUUAGGGAAGAACAAAUGUGUAAGUAACUAUGCACGUCUUGACGGUACCUAAUCAGAAAGCCACGGCUAACUACGUG
rnacentral:rRNA from 1 species